rnacentral:rRNA from 1 species
AGCUCCAAUAGCGUAUAUUAAAGUUGUUGCAGUUAAAAAGCUCGUAGUUGGAUUUCUGGUGGGAGUGACCGGUCCGUCCUCGGGAUGUGUACUAGUUGUCGUCUCUUGCCAUCGUUGGGGAAAACGUGCCUGGCAUUAGGUUGUCGGGUUCGGGAUCCCCAUCCUUUACUGUGAAAAAAUUAGAGUGUUUAAAGCAGGCUUAUGCCGUUGAAUACAUUAGCAUGGAAUAAUAAGAUAGGACUUUGGUGGUCUAUUUUGUUGGUUUGCACGCCAAGGUAAUGAUUAAUAGGGAUGGUUGGGGGUAUCCGUAUUUCGUAGUCAGAGGUGAAAUUCUUGGAUUUACGAAAGACGAACUACUGCGAAAGCAUUUACCAAGGAUGUUUUCAUUAAUCAAGAACGA